rnacentral:rRNA from 1 species
AUGACUAACCCUACUACUAAUAGCCUUCAUGAGUCUUGUGAUGAUGCAGGAAAAAGCAGUGAAAAAAUCAUGGAAGAUGGUGAAGAAAAUAUUGCAGCAGAUUCAUAUUUCAUGUGCCCUGAACUGGGGAGCAAAUCCCUCUUGGGAUCUGGUCAGGAGCUGCCGCGCAGCGAAUCCGCCUCGGGAUCGGUGCCUUGCAGGGAAUCUGCUGCGACAGCCCCGAUAGCCGCAGGCAUCCUGGAUGGCAUCGGCGACUCCCCUCGGGCACUCCAAUCGCCGUCCGCCAGAUGGCAGGCCGACGCUGGCCUGGGCCGCGGGCGGCUUGAGGCCCAACCGGUCGUCUACAAGCGGCCGACAGCGACUCGCCUGACGGGAGCGGGGACAGACCCUUCCUCCUUGGGAUCGGGGGAGGAUCAGUUUGAUCCAAGCGUGGGAUCCUCUGCGCCGGGGCUCUCUGUAGUGGCUCCUGCUACUACUCCACGUCGCACACGGCUACAGCAAAGCAUAAUUAAACCUAUUGAUUAUAGACAUAUUACAAAAUAUGGGAUGAUUUGUUCAAUAGGUGAACCAAGAGAACCCAACACUCUUGAAGAAGCCAUUGGUGAUGCUAAUUGGAGAAAGGCAAUGCAUGAUGAAAUUGUGGCACUAAGGAAAAACAAAACAUGGCACUUGGUCCCUUCAAGCAAAGGUAAAAAUCUUAUUGACUGUAAGUGGAUCUUUAGGAUAAAAAGAAAAGCUGAUGGAGCUAUUGAUUGUUACAAAGCUAGACUCGUUGCAAAGGGUUUUAAACAAAGGUAUGACAUUGACUAUGAGGACACAUUCAGUCCAGUUGCUAAAGCUGCUACCAUUCGCCUUGUCUUGUCCAUUGCUGUGUCUAGGGGAUGGAGUCUACGACAGCUAGACGUUCAGAACGCGUUCCUCCACGGUGUUCUGGAAGAAGAGGUUUACAUGAAACAACCUCCUGGGUUUGUAAAUGCACGGGCACCACUUCAUGUGUGCAAACUUGACAAGGCCUUGUAUGGACUGAUACAGGACCCAAGAGCAUGGUAUUCUCGCCUCAGUAAAAAGAUGCAAACACUUGGUUUUGUUCCUUCAAAGUCUGACACUUCGUUAUUUAUCUAUAACAAGUCAAGAAUAUCCAUAUUUGUUCUCAUUUAUGUUGAUGAUAUAAUUGCAACAAGUUCAUCUGAUGAAGCAAUAACAACACUGUUGAAGGAUUUAAGUGCAGAAUUUGCUCUAAAGGAUCUAGGAGAUCUACACUACUUUCUUGGUAUUGAGGUCAAGCAACACAAGGAUGGUCUUCACCUCUCUCAAGAAAAGUAUGCAACAGACUUGGUAAAAAAGGCUGGUUUGCAAAGUUGUAAGUCUGCACCUACUCCUUUAUCUAGCAUAGAAAAAUUGUCUCUUUCUGAAGGAGAGCCUCUGAAUUCAGAAAAUAGUACAAAAUACAGGAGCCUGGUAGGUGCACUUCAAUACUAA